rnacentral:rRNA from 2 species
UAAGAGUUUGAUCCUGGCUCAGGAUGAACGCUGGCGGCGUGCCUUAGGCAUGCAAGUCGAACGGCCGGAGAUCAGAAACCGGAAGUCGGAUGCCGGAAUUCAGAAAUCGGAUUUGCUAUAGUUGUGUGUAUGGAGGUAAGUAAAUUAAGGGUUUACAGACAAUGUCUGCAAGCUUUUCAGAUGGUUGAAGAUAUUGCUAAGGAUUUACCCCCAGAGCUAUUUGACACAAAAAGACAAAUAUUGCGCAGUUCAAAAGCUAUUGCGCCAAUAAUUGCCGAAGGUUUUGGCAGAAAAAGAUCUCAACGCGAGUUCUAUAAAUACGUUAUAGAUGCUAUGAGUUCUUCUGAUGAAACCAUUACACAUUUACGUACUAUUGCAAUGUCCAAAUUUAAUACAAUUCCGAUUGAGAAAUUGAAGAAAACUGCAGAAGUGUACAAGUCUAUUUCUAGACAGCUUAAUAAAUUAUCUUCAACUAUUAAAUCGAAGCUUGUAAUCUGAAUUCCGAAAUCUGAUAUCUGGUUUCUGGUAUCUGAUCUCCGGCAGUGGCGGAAGGGUGAGUAACGCGUGGGAACGUACCUUUUGGUGGAGCAUAGCCUUCCGAAAGGAGGGGUAAUACUGCAUAAUCCCAAGGCUUCGCCUUGUGAAAUUCGAAGCACGAAUAUCGAGACUCGAAACAAAUCACGAUGUUCAAAUUUUCAAAAUCCAAAACGUUUUGAUCAUUUGGAUUUUAGGAUUUAAGUAUUGUUUCGGAUUUCGGAUUUAGAAUUUAGAAUUUCCCAAAGUGGAGCUUUGGGCAAAGGGCUUAACCGCCCGCCGAAAGAGCGGCCUACGUCCUAUCAGCUUGUUGGUGGGGUAAAAGCCUACCAAGGCGAUGACGGGUAGCUGGACUGAGAGGUCGGUCAGCCACAAGGGAACUGAGACACGGUCCCUACACCUACGGGUGGCAGCAACUAGGAAUUUUGGACAAUGGGCGAAAGCCUGAUCCAGCGACGCCGCGUGGGGGAAGAAGGCCUUCGGGUUGUAAACUCCUUUUGUCCCGUGUAAUGCGGGAAGAAUAAGCACCUGCUAACUACGUGCCAGCAGCCGCGGUGAGACGUAGGGUGCAAGCGUUAUCCGGAUUUACUGGGCGUAAAGGGUUGCGUAGGCGUCCAGCUGCAUCUUGUCUGAAAGCCCUCCGCUUAACGGGGGAUCCGGACAGGAAAUGGGCUGGAUUUGAGGUUCAUAGAGGUAGCCGGAACUUGCAGUGGAGCGGUGAAAUGCGUUGAUAUUGCAAGGAACACCGAUGGCGUAGGCAGGCUACUGGGUGAAAUCUGACGCUGAUGCACGAAAGCUAGGGGAGCGAAGCGGAUUAGAGACCCGCGUAGUCCUAGCCGUAAACGAUGGACACUAGCUGUCCGCCAAUUGGUGGAUGGCGCAAGCUAACGCGUUAAGUGUCCCGCCUGGGGAGUACGGCCGCAAGGCUAAAACUCAAAGGAAUUGACGGGGACCCGCACAAGCGGUGGAGCAUGUGGUUUAAUUCGAAACAAAGCGAAAAACCUUACCAGGGUUUGACAUCCUAACUGCACGUUCGCCGAAAGGCGGAUUUCUUCGAGAGUGUUAGGACAGGUGCUGCAUGGCUGUCGUCAGCUUGUACCGUGAGGCGCACCCUUAAGUGGGUUAACAAGCGCAACCCCCAUCCCAUGUUAAAUAUCAUGGGAAACUGCCCGCUAAAAGCGAGGAGGAAGGCGGGGAUGACGUCAAGUCAGCACGGCCCUUAUGCCCUGGGCUACACACAUCCUACAAUGGGUGUAUAACAACGGGUUUGCAACUAGGUAACUGGAAGCUAAUCCUCCAAAAGCAUCCUCAGUUCGGAUUGAGGGCUGCAAUUCGCCCUCAUGAAGCUGAAAUCGCUAGUAAUCGCGGAUCAGCAGGCCGCGGUGAAUACGUUCUCGGGUCUUGUACACACCGCCCGUCAAGCCAACAAAGUCGGGGGUGCCCGAAGUGUCUAUUUUUAGGCCCUAAGGCAAAACCGGCGAUGGGGACUAAGUCGUUUGAUCAAUCUGAUCGUUGCGACCUUGGAGAGUAAUCUCCUCGAAAAAUUUGGCUAUAUCGGUGAAACUCCUACUUGAUUUUCGGAUUAUCUUCGGGUAAUCUGAUAUUAAGGGACAAUACCGAGGGAACCUUCUCUAAAAGAAAGAAGGACUCCGUAGAGACUACACGCCAACCCCUUAUAUCAGCAGGUCAACUUGAAACUUCGUUUCAAUAUUGCACCUCUGAUAUAUCAGGAUCAGCGAAGCUGAUGGCUGAUAUGACAAAGGCAUAUUUACUGGGAGCAUUACAUGAUGCGACUAUUCGUAAAAUAACCUAUCGAAUAGGUGCGAAAGAUUUAUCUUAUGCAGAAUUUCUAAAAAAGGGGAUUACUGCACUAGGACAUAAAGCAUGGAUUUACAAGGAAGGCAAAAGUAGAAAUUACUACAUUGUUGAAUUUGUUAAAUCAAUACUUGAUCAAGUAGCACUAAAGUCCUUCGAUGAUAAAAUAGAUUAUAUUCGAGGUUAUUUUGAUACGGAUGGUGGUAUAGCAAGGUCAAAAAAUGUGCGAUAUUAUUUGUAUUUUGCACAAAAGAAUAAAAAUGAUCUUGCAAAUGUAAAGAAUUAUUUAGAACAACUUAACAUUAGUUGCGGAAUAAUUCACAAUCCUAGUAAAAGUAAAGAUGCCAGUUACUUCCGAUUCUUCAUUAAAGCAGAAUCUUAUCAAAGAUUUGCUGAAGUUAUCGGAUCGUGGCAUCCAAUAAAGUCUAAGUUUUUAAGGGUGAAGAUAUAGUCCAUGCCUGGCAGUAAUGUCGGGGUAAACAUGAACAAGGUAUCCGUUCUGGAAGGAGCGGAUGGAUCACCUCCUU